rnacentral:misc_RNA from 1 species
GACUUCAUGCAUGUACUGGGCGUCGGCGUCGUCGUCGACAUGCCGCUAGGCCGCCAGCGGUUGCUCGGGAACAUACAGGCAACCCGCAACGAUUUCUCACGAUUCGAUUUUCUCGAUCACUCGGCCUACGAUGGCAGACUGAACCUGCAAUGGCAUUUGGGCAAUGAUUGGUCGGGUGAUCUUCGGUAUCAGCGGAACACGCGCCUCGCGAGCUUCGGUGAUCUGCGCGUGCCCCGCCGAGACAUGAUCACAACGGAUAGUGGCGCUGUCCUCGCCAGAUACCAAGUGGGGGCGUCGGUGGCAGCAAGGGUAUUGAUUUCUGCCUUGAGCUCCGA